GAUGAACGCUGGCGGCGUGCCUAAUACAUGCAAGUCGAGCGAACGGACGAGAAGCUUGCUUCUCUGAUGUUAGCGGCGGACGGGUGAGUAACACGUGGAUAACCUACCUAUAAGACUGGGAUAACUUCGGGAAACCGGAGCUAAUACCGGAUAAUAUUUUGAACCGCAUGGUUCAAAAGUGAAAGACGGUCUUGUUGUCACUUAUAGAUGGAUCCGCGCUGCAUUAGCUAGUUGGUAAGGUAACGGCUUACCAAGGCAACGAUGCAUAGCCGACCUGAGAGGGUGAUCGGCCACACUGGAACUGAGACACGGUCCAGACUCCUACGGGAGGCAGCAGUAGGGAAUCUUCCGCAAAGGGCGAAAGCCUGACGGAGCAACGCCGCGUGAGUGAUGAAGGUCUUCGGAUCGUAAAACUCUGUUAUUAGGGAAGAACAUAUGUGUAAGUAACUGUGCACAUCUUGACGGUACCUAAUCAGAAAGCCACGGCUAACUACGUG
rnacentral:rRNA from 1 species